UGGUCUACCAGAGAGGGCACAUGUGCCUCAAUUGUCUUAUAGCAUAGCGACUCAUUAUCCUUCCACCGCUGGUGGCGGGCGGUACUCGCUGCUCUGUGAAGCCAGCCUCACGCAAUGUCCGCCACUUUAGGUGUUGGGAUGCAAAGACUUUCGCCAAGGCAUCCGAAACCCACUACACAACUUGGAAUGGGUGGUCCACUGUUUGUAGCACUAGACCCAGGCACAUGCACCACAAUUGACAUCCACACUACCUUAUUGCCCCGCUCGGGUUACAAGCAAUCGCUACUUGCUCAGCGAGUGAGGGGGUUCAAGACUACCUAUUUAAGGUGGUGUUGUACUCUAUGAGCCGGCGGUGUGGUAUUUACCAACUACAAAUAGUGUCAUGCAUGUGACUUGCUAGUUGACAAUGUCUGUUGUCAAGCUAGGUGUGGGCUAUGGAUGAAGCACAUUAGGAUAUAGUAGGCCUAUUUUGUUUUUUGUUGUUUUUGGGCCACUAUGGACUUUAUGUUGAUGUUGUGAAAUUUUUUUCUUGUGUUUCCUCUUCCUACGAUGUGGAAAGUGGGUGCGUCAGAGAAGAAAGAAAGAGUGGCUAGCAUUGAUUUUACGUCAUACCAUUGAGAACACUAAUCAGAAGCAGAAGCAACAAUAUUUCAUACAUAUACAACACUUGUAAUCCAUAUAAACAACAUUCCUUUAAAAUAUAAUAUAAACCACAUGAUUUAUAUCCUGGGUCGGCUAUCUCCACAAAGGGCAAGAAAACGCUCCAAGUUUGUAGUAUAGCACUAAAAGUGUCGAUUCUCACGAUUUCUUCCCGACAUAUACAAACUAGACAGUAAUCACAUAAAAUAAAGAAAUAUGUGUUAACACGAACUUAUAGCAUGUAUUUCAACAUAUAGAUUUUUGAUUAUUAUGGUAGAUUAUAUAAAAUAGGGGUUCCCGAAGAAAUACAUAAAAACAAGAGCAUUAAAAUUUCCUUUUCAGAUCUGGCUAUCUGGUAAAAGGAGUUGGAGUAACUGAGUUUCCAAAUUUGUGACGUAGCUCUAUAGAAGGAAUAUAAAUACGUUGGAAAAAUUCUAUAAGGAAAGGUUUAAUACAAGUAGGGCUAAGAAAAACUCAAUGAGGCUUUGGUCGCAUGGUCACAAAACUUGAGACAAGAAACACGAAGACACCAAGGUAAUUAGUAUGAGAGUUUUCCAAAUUUGGUGUCUUGAUGUAGAAAAAAUAAAUAUAUGACAAAUUUGUUUUUUCGCAAGGCAUGGAUAAAUAAGUGGGGGUGAGCAAUAAAUUUCAUCCUAGAUUUAGAAGGAAUAAAUAUAUCACUAAAUACAUUUUUUCACAAUGCCAAAUUAAUCAGGUGGGAGCGAGAAACAAUUGUAGCGAGGCUAGGUUGUACUAGCCCAAAACUACAUACAACAGAGGAAAAAUGAAGAAAAUGAUGGUCUACCAAAUAUGGCGCAUGAGCCUUAAGGUGCACCUAGAGGGAAGUAGAAGAAAUAAAUAUAUAAUAGCAUAUGUUUUUCGCAAUGCAUGGUAAAGUGUAGAUGUGCUCUAACUGGGCUUAGAUUGCAGCGACACAUUAUGCAUCUACAAGGCUUGGUUGCACAUGGAAAAAGAUACAAAAAGAAAUGUAGACGCAGGACCGGGAGAAAAACAUUCAAUGAGACGUGAUUGCACGGACAUAGAACUAGAUAUAAGACAAGAGUUAAAGAAAAAUAAAGGAACUAAAUUUUCUUCUGCACACUAAGCAUGAAUGGAGUUGUAGUAUCUGAGAUCAAAAUUUAAUUUAUUCCAAGAUGCAGAACAAAAAUUUGAUACUCGUAAUGGUUACAUAGGAGCAAAAGUAGAUAAGAAAAAUAGCAAAAAGAUAGUGGUCUACCAGAGAGGGCACAUGUGCCUCAAUUGGCCUAUAGCAUAGCGACUCAUUAUCCUUCCACCGCUGGUGGCGGGCGGUACUCGCUGCUCUGUGAAGCCAGCCUCACACAAUGUCCGCCACUUUAGGUGUUGGGAUGCAAAGGCUUUCGCCAAGGCAUCCGAAACCCACUACACAACUUGGAAUGGGUGGUCCACUGUUUGUAGCACUAGACCCAGGCACAUGCACCACAAUUGACAUCCACACUACCUUAUUGCCCCGCUCGGGUUACAAGCAAUCGCUACUUGCUCAGCGAGUGAGGGGGUUCAAGACUACCUAUUUAAGGUGGUGUUGUACUCUAUGAGCCGGCGGUGUGGUAUUUACCAACUACAAAUAGUGUCAUGCAUGUGACUUGCUAGUUGACAAUGUCUGUUGUCAAGCUAGGUGUGGGCUAUGGAUGAAGCACAUUAGGAUAUAGUAGGCCUAUUUUGUUUUUUGUUGUUUUUGGGCCACUAUGGACUUUAUGUUGAUGUUGUGAAAUUUUUUUCUUGUGUUUCCUCUUCCUACGAUGUGGAAAGUGGGUGCGUCAGAGAAGAAAGAAAGAGUGGCUAGCAUUGAUUUUACGUCAUACCAUUGAGAACACUAAUCAGAAGCAGAAGCAACAAUAUUUCAUACAUAUACAACACUUGUAAUCCAUAUAAACAACAUUCCUUUAAAAUAUAAUAUAAACCACAUGAUUUAUAUCCUGGGUCGGCUAUCUCCACAAAGGGCAAGAAAACGCUCCAAGUUUGUAGUAUAGCACUAAAAGUGUCGAUUCUCACGAUUUCUUCCCGACAUAUACAAACUAGACAGUAAUCACAUAAAAUAAAGAAAUAUGUGUUAACACAAACUUAUAGCAUGUAUUUCAACAUAUAGAUUGUUGAUUAUUAUGGUAGAUUAUAUAAAAUAGGGGUUCCCGAAGAAAUACAUAAAAACAAGAGCAUUAAAAUUUCCUUUUCAGAUCUGGCUAUCUGGUAAAAGGAGUUGGAGUAACUGAGUUUCCAAAUUUGUGACGUAGCUCUAUAGAAGGAAUAUAAAUACGUUGGAAAAAUUCUAUAAGGAAAGGUUUAAUACAAGUAGGGCUAAGAAAAACUCAAUGAGGCUUUGGUCGCAUGGUCACAAAACUUGAGACAAGAAACACGAAGACACCAAGGUAAUUAGUAUGAGAGUUUUCCAAAUUUGGUGUCUUGAUGUAGAAAAAAUAAAUAUAUGACAAAUUUGUUUUUUCGCAAGGCAUGGAUAAAUAGGUGGGGGUGAGCAAUAAAUUUCAUCCUAGAUUUAGAAGGAAUAAAUAUAUCACUAAAUAUGUUUUUUCACAAUGCCAAGUUAAUCAGGUGGGAGCGAGAAACAAUUCUAGCGAGGCUAGGUUGUACUAGCCCAAAACUACAUACAACAGAGGAAAAAUGAAGAAAAUGAUGGUCUACCAAAUAUGGCGCAUGAGCCUUAAGGUGCACCUAGAGGGAAGUAGAAGAAAUAAAUAUAUAAUAGCAUAUAUUUUUCGCAAUGCAUGGUAAAGUGUAGAUGUGCUCUAACUGGGCUUAGAUUGCAGCGACACAUUAUGCAUCUACAAGGCUUGGUUGCACAUGGAAAAAGAUACAGAAAGAAAUGUAGACGCAGGACCGGGAGAAAAACAUUCAAUGAGACGUGAUUGCACAGACAUAGAACUAGAUAUAAGACAAGAGUUAAAGAAAAAUAAAGGAACUAAAUUUUCUUCUGCACACUAAGCAUGAAUGGAGUUGUAGUAUCUGAGAUCAAAAUUUAAUUUAUUCCAAGAUGCAGAACAAAAAUGUGAUACUCGUAAUGGUUACAUAGGAACAAAAGUAGUUAAGAAAAAUAGCAAAAAGAUAGUGGUCUACCAGAGAGGGCACAUGUGCCUCAAUUGGCCUAUAGCAUAGCGACUCAUUAUCCUUCCACCGCUGGUGGCGGGCGGUACUCGCUGCUCUGUGAAGCCAGCCUCACGCAAUGUCCGCCACUUUAGGUGUUGGGAUGCAAAGGCUUUCGCCAAGGCAUCCGAAACCCACUACACAACUUGGAAUGGGUGGUCCACAGUUUGUAGCACUAGACCCAGGCACAUGCACCACAAUUGACAUCCACACUACCUUAUUGCCCCCGCUCGGGUUACAAGCAAUCGCUACUUGCUCAGCGAGUGAGGGGGGGUCAAGACUACCUAUUUAAGGUGGUGUUGUACUCUAUGAGCAGGCGGUCUGGUAUUUACCAACUACAAAUAGUGUCAUGCAUGUGACUUGCUAGUUGACAAUGUCUGUUGUCGAGUUAGAUGUGGGCUAUGGAUGAAGCACAUUAGGAUAUAGUAGGCCUAUUUUGUUUUUUGUUGUUUUUGGGCCACUAUGGACUUUCUGUUGAUGUUGUGAAAUUUUUUCUUGUGUUUCCUCUUCCUACGAUGUGGAAAGUGGGUGCGUCAGAGAAGAAAGAAAGAGUGGCUAGCAUUGAUUUUACGUCAUACCAUUGAGAACACUAAUUAGAAGCAGAAGCAACAAUAUUUCAUACAUAUACAACACUUGUAAUCCAUAUAAACAACUUUCCUUUAAAAUAUAAUAUAAACCACAUGAUUUAUAUCCUGGGUCGGCUAUCUCUACAAAGGGCGAGAAAACGCUCCAAGUUUGUAGUAUAGAACUAAAAGUGUCGAUUCUCAUGAUUUUUCCGACAUAUACAAACUAGACAGUAAUCACAUAAAAUAAAGAAAUAUGUGUUAACACGAACUUAUAGCAUGUAUUUCAACAUACAUAUUGUUGAUUAUUAUGGUAGAUUAUAUAAAAUAGGGGUUCCCGAAGAAAUACAUAAAAACAAGAGCAUUAAAAUUUCCUUUUUAGAUCUGGCUAUCUGGUAAAAGGAGUUGGAGUAACUGAGUUUCCAAAUUUGUGACGUAGCUCUAUAGAAGGAAUAUAAAUACGUUGCAAAAAUUCUACAAGGAAAGGUUAAUACAAGUAGGGCUAAGAAAAACUCAAUUAGGCUUUGGUCGCAUGGUCACAAAACUUGAGACAAGAAACACGAAGACACCAAGGUAAUUAGUAUGAGAGUUUUCGAAAUUUGGUGUCUUGAUGUAGAAAAAAUAAAUAUAUGACAAACUUGUUUUUUCUCAAGGCAUGGAUUGAGAGCACCUAGAGGGGGGGGUGAAUAGGUGAUCCUGUGAAACUUGAAAACUUAAGCCACAAAACUUGGUUAAUCGUUAGCACAAUAAUUGCCAAGUGGCUAAAUAGGAAUCCUCAACAAAAUACAAUAACCAACAAAGAUCAAUCACAGAGAUGACACGGUGGUUAUCCCAUGGUUCGGCCAAGACCAACGCUUGCCUACUCCAUGUUGUGGCGUCCCAACGGACGAGGGUUGCAAUCAACCCCUCUCAAGCGGUCCAAAGACCCACUUGAAUACCACGGUGUUUUGCUUUGCUUAUCUUUAUCCCACUUGCGAGGAAUCUCCACAAAUUGGAGUCUCUCGCCCUUACACUUAAAGUUCACAAAGAAGCACGGAGUAAGGGAGGGAAGCAACACACACAAAUCCACAGCAAAAUGCGCACACACACGGCCAAGAAUCGAGCUCAAAAGACUAUCUCAAAGUUCUCACUAGAACGGAGCUCGAAUCACUGAGAAUGACAAACGAAUGCGCAAAGACUGAGUGUGGAUGAUCAAGAAUGCUCUAAGGUUGCUUGGUUUUUCUCCUCCAUGCGCCUAGGGGUCCCUUUUAUAGCCCCAAGGCGGCUAGGAGCCGUUGAGAACAAAUCUGGAAGGCCAUCCUUGCCUUCUGUCGUCGGGCGCACCGGACAGUCCGGUGCACACCGGACACUGUCCGGUGCCCGAUUUCCUUCCUUAAAUGGCGAAGCCGACCGUUGCAGAUGUGGGAGCCGUUGGCGCACCGGACAUGUCCGGUGCACACCGGACAGUCCGGUGCCCCCUUCCGACCGUUGGCUCGGCCACGUGUCGCGCGCGGAUUCCGUGGCCGACCGUUGGCCCGGCCGACCGUUGGCUCACCGGACAGUCCGGUGCACACCGGACAGUCCGGUGAAUUUUAGGCGUACGUCGCCGGUGAAUUCCCGAGAGCGGCCAGUUCGCUCGAGCCAGCCUGGCGCACCGGACACAGUCCGGUGCACCACCGGACAGUCCGGUGCCCCAGACCGAAACAGCCUCUUGGCUGUACACAGCCAACUCUUCUCUUUCCUUCUUCUUUUUGUUUCUGAUACUUAGACAAGUAUAUUAGUACACAAAACCAAUGUACUAAGACUUAGAAACAUACCUUUGCUCUUGAUUUGCACUUUGUCCAUUCAUGGGCAUAGAUUUACAUUUAAUUACUUGUGUUGGCACUCAAUCACCAAAAUACUUAGAAAUGGCCCAAGGGCACAUUUCCCUUUCAAUCUCCCCCUUUUUGGUGAUUUAUGCCAACACAACAUAAAGCAACUAGAACAAGUGCAAUAUUACUUCAAAUAAAAACUCAAAUUCAUUUUGAUUCAAUUUGGCAUAUAUGGAUCAUCCUUUGCCACCACUUGGUUUGUUUUUGCAAAUCAAACUCAAAAUCCUAUCUCUAAGUCAAAUCCACUUGUAGAGACAUAAAGAGAGGUUUUCCAUAGAAGAUUGAUUCAAGAUUCCAAAAACUCCCCCUUUUUCCCAUAAUCAACACUUCACCCCACAAGAGGCCAACUUUUGAUAAAAGAGACAAUGCAAGAGUAUUGACAAACCAAAAGCUCUAUCCUACUGUUUUCAAAGUUUCUCAAGUGGUAGCUGAUCCAUUUAUUGCUUUGGCCUUUAUUUUCUCCCCCUUUGGCGUCAAGCACCAAAACGGGAUCAAUCUUGGCCCUUUAACCCCAUUGCCUCACCAAAAUCUUCAAUUAAGAGCAAAUAGGCAAUAAGAGUUAAAAGAUGAACUUGGAAAAGUUACUCUUUUCAUCGGAGUGCAGUGGAAGUCUUGCAUGGUCCAAGUCCACCUUUUCCCUUUUAAUUCUCCUUCGAGACUAAAACAAGCAAACUCAAGCAUAUGGUUAGUCUCAAAGGGUCAAGUUGUAACACAUCUCCCCCUAAAACUGUGCAUCACUUUGCAACGGACUUGUGAGGUCCAGGGAGUGUUUGUACAACUUGAGCACCAUACUAAACAACAAAAUGCAAAAAGGAUCAUGAUCAAAAGCAUAAAUACAUGUAUGCUACAAUUCAAUCCAAGUUCCGCGAAUCUACGACAUUUAGCUCACUACGCAGCCUGCAAAAGGUCUUCUCAUCUAGAGGCUUGGUAAAGAUAUCGGCUAGCUGGUUCUCGGUGCUAACAUGAAACACUUCGAUAUCUCCCUUUUGCUGGUGAUCUCUCAAAAAGUGAUGCCGGAUGUCAAUGUGCUUUGUGCGGCUGUGUUCAACAGGAUUUUCCGCCAUGCGGAUAGCACUCUCAUUGUCACAUAGGAGUGGGACUUUGCUCAGAUUGUAGCCAAAGUCCCUGAGGGUUUGCCUCAUCCAAAGUAGUUGCGCGCAACACUGUCCUGCGGCAACAUACUCGGCCUCAGCGGUGGAUAGGGCAACGGAGGUUUGUUUCUUAGAGUUCCACGACACCAGGGACCUUCCUAAGAAUUGGCACGUCCCUGAUGUACUCUUCCUAUCGACCUUACAUCCAGCAUAGUCGGAAUCUGAGUUUCCAACCAAGUCAAAGGUAGACCCCUUUGGAUACCAGAGCCCGAAGCAAGGCGUAGCAACCAAAUAUCUAAGAAUUCGCUUCACCGCCACUAAGUGACACUCCUUAGGAUUGGAUUGAAAUCUAGCACACAUGCAUACGCUAAGCAUAAUAUCCGGUCUACUAGCACAUAAAUAAAGUAAAGACCCUAUCAUUGACCGGUAUGCUUUUUGAUCAACGGACUUACCUCCUUUGUUGAGGUCGGUGUGUCCGUCGGUCCCCAUCGGAGUCUUUGCGGGCUUGGCGUCCUUCAUCCCAAACCGCUUCAGCAGGUCUUGCGUGUACUUUGUUUGGGAGAUGAAGGUGCCGUCCUUGAGUUGCUUCACUUGAAACCCAAGGAAGUAGUUCAACUCGCCCAUCAUCGACAUCUCGAAUUUCUGCAUCAUAACCCUGCUAAACUCUUCACAAGACUUUUGGUUAGUAGAACCAAAUAUUAUGUCAUCGACAUAAAUUUGGCACACAAACAAAUCACCAUCACAUGUCUUAGUAAAAAGAGUUGGAUCGGCUUUCCCAACCUUGAAGGCAUUUGCAAUUAAAAAGUCUUUAAGGCAUUCAUACCAUGCUCUUGGGGCUUGCUUAAGUCCAUAGAGCGCCUUAGAGAGCUUACACACGUGGUCGGGGUACCGUUCAUCCUCGAAGCCAGGGGGUUGCUCUACGUACACCUCCUCCUUGAUUGGCCCGUUGAGGAAAGCGCUCUUCACAUCCAUUUGGAACAACCUGAAAGAAUGGUGAGCGACAUAUGCUAGCAAGAUACGAAUUGAUUCUAGCCUAGCCACAGGAGCAAACGUCUCCUCAAAGUCCAAACCUGCGACUUGGGCAUAACCUUUUGCCACAAGUCGAGCCUUGUUCCUCGUCACCACCCCGUGCUCGUCCUGUUUGUUGCGGAAUACCCACUUGGUUCCCACAACGUUUUGCUUGGGACGAGGCACCAGUGUCCAAACUUCAUUUCGCUUGAAGUUGUUGAGUUCCUCCUGCAUGGCUAACACCCAGUCCGGAUCUAGCAAGGCCUCUUCUACCCUGAAAGGCUCAAUAGAAGAGACAAAGGAGUAAUGCUCACAAAAAUUAACUAAUCGAGAUCGAGUAGUUACUCCCUUGCUAAUAUCACCCAGAAUUUGGUCGACGGGAUGAUCCCUUUGAAUCAUCGCUCGAACUUGGGUUGGAGGUGCCGGUUGUGCUUCUUCCUCCAUCACAUGAUCAUCUUGUGCUCCCCAUUGAUCACACUCCUCUUGAUGAACCUGUUCAUCGUUUUGAGUUGGGGGAUGCAUCAUUGUUGAGGAAGAAGGUUGAUCUUGCUCCAAUUGUUCCUGUGGUCGCACAUCACCAAUCGCCAUGGUGCGCAUAGCGGCCGUUGGAACGUCUUCUUCAUCUAAAUCAUCAAGAUCAACAACUUGCUCUCUUGGAGAGCCAUUAGUCUCAUCAAAUACAACGUCGCUAGAGACUUCAACCAAACCCGAUGAUUUGUUGAAGACUCUAUACGCCUUUGUAUUUGACUCAUAACCUAACAAAAACCCUUCUACAGCUUUGGGAGCAAACUUAGAAUUUCUACCCUUCUUUACUAGAAUGUAGCACUUGCUCCCAAAUACACGAAAGUAAGAUACAUUGGGUUUGUUACCGGUUAGUAGCUCAUACGAAGUCUUCUUGAGGAGGCGAUGAAGGUAGACCCUGUUGAUGGCGUGGCAAGCCAUGUUCACGGCUUCCGACUAGAAACACUCGGGGGUCUUGAAUUCUCCAAGCAUCGUCCUCGCCAUAUCGAUUAGUGUCCUGUUCUUCCUCUCUACCACACCAUUUUGCUGUGGUGUGUAGGGAGCGGAGAACUCGUGCUUGAUCCCUUCCUCCUCAAGGAACUCCUCCACUUGAAGAUUCUUGAAAUCGGACCCGUUGUCGCUCCUUAUCUUCUUCACCUUGAGCUCAAACUCAUUUUGAGCUCUCCUAAGGAAGCGCUUGAGGGUCCCUUGGGUUUCAGACUUAUCCUGCAAAAAGAACACCCAAGUGAAGCGGGAAAAGUCAUCGACAAUAACUAGACCAUACUUACUUCCCCCUAUGCUCAGAUAGGCGACGGGUCCGAAGAGGUCCAUAUGCAGCAGCUCCAGGGGUCUUGAAGUGGUCAUCACAUUCUUGCUGUGAUGCGCUCCUCCCACUUGUUUACCUGCUUGACAAGCUGCACAAGGUCUAUCUUUUUCGAAUUGUACGUUAGUCAAACCUAUCACGUGUUCUCCCUUUAGAAGCUUGUGAAGGUUCUUCAUCCCCACAUGUGCUAAGCGGCGAUGCCACAGCCAGCCCAUGCUAGUCUUAGCAAUUAAGCAUGCAUCUAGACCGGCCUCUUCUUUUGCAAAAUCAACUAAGUAAAGCUUGCCGUCUAAUACACCCUUAAAAGCUAGUGAACCAUCACUUCUUCUAAAGACAGACACAUCUACAUUUGUAAAUAGACAGUUAUAUCCCAUAUUGCAUAAUUGACUAACAGAUAACAAAUUAUAUCCAAGAGACUCUACUAAAAACACAUUAGAGAUAGAGUGCUCAUUAGAAAUUGCAAUUUUACCUAACCCUUUUACCUUGCCUUGAUUCCCAUCACCGAAUAUAAUUGAAUCUUGGGAAUCCUUAUUCUUGACGUAGGAGGUGAACAUCUUCUUCUCCCCCGUCAUAUGGUUUGUGCAUCCGCUGUCGAUAAUCCAGCUUGAACCCCCGGAUGCAUAAACCUGCAAGGCAAAUUUAGGCUUGGGACUUAGGUACCCAACUCUUGUUGGGUCCUACAAGGUUAGUCACAAUUUCCUUAGGGAUCCAAAUGCAAGUUUUAUCACCCUUGCAUUUUGCCCCUAACUUCCUAGCAAUCACCUUUCUAUCCUUUCUACAAAUUGCAAAGGAAGCAUUCAAAGCAUGAUAUAUUGUAGAAGGCUCAUUAACUUUCCUAGGCACAUUAACAACAUUUCUCCUAGGCAUAUUAUGAACAACAUUUCUCCUACCAACGUUCCUAUCAUGCUCAUAGAAAGAACUAGAAGCAACCAUGUCAUGAUAAACAUAUGAAUCAAAAACAUUAUAACUUCUAUUUGCAUUUCUAGUAUGUCUCCUAUCAUGAUACAUAAAAGCAUGGUUCUUUUUAGCACUACCAGCCAUAGGGGCCUUCCCUUUCUCCUUGGCGGAAAUGGGAGCCUUAUGGCUUGUUAAGUUCUUGGCUUCCCUCUUGAAGCCAAGUCCAUCCUUAAUUGAGGGAUGUCUACCAAUCGUAUAGGCAUCCCUUGCAAAUUUUAAUUUAUCAAAUUCGCUUUUGCUAGUCUUAAGUUGGGCAUUAAGACUAGCCACUUCAUCAUUCAAUUUAGAAAUUGAAACUAGGUGUUCACUACAAGCAUCAACAUUAAAAUCUUUACACCUAGUGCAAACCAUAACAUGUUCUACACAAGAGUUAGAUUUACUAGCCACUUCUAGUUUAGCAUUUAAAUCAUUAUUAACACCUUUUAAAGUAGCAAUGGUUUCAUGACAAGAAGAUAAUUCACUAGAAAGCACUUCAUUUCUUUUAACUUCUAAAGCAUAAGAUUUUUGUGCCUCUACAAAUUUGUCAUGCUCUUCAUAUAAAAGAUCCUCUUGUUUUUCUAAGAGUCUAUCCUUUUCAUUCAAGGCAUCAAUCAAUUCAUUAAUCUUUUCUACUUUAGUUCUAUCCAAUCCCUUGAACAAACUAGAGUAAUCUAUUUCUUCAUCACUGGACUCAUCAUCACUAGAAGAAUCAUAAGUGACAUUGUUUUGAUUGCAUACCUUCUUCUCCCUUGCCAUAAGGCAUGUGUGACGCUCGUUGGGGAAGAGGGAUGACUUGUUGAAGGCGGUGGCGGCGAGUCCUUCAUUGUCGGAGUCGGAGGAGAAGCAAUCUGAAUCCCACUCCUUUCCGAUAUGUGCCUCGCCCUUGGCCUUCUUGUAAUGCUUCUUCUUCUCCCUUUUGUUCCCCUUUUCCUGGUCACUUUCAUUAUCGGGACAGUUAGCAAUGAAAUGACCAAUCUUACCGCAUUUGAAGCACGAGCGCUUCUCCUUUGUCUUGGUCUUGCUUGGCUGUCCCUUGCGACCUUUAAGCGCCGUCUUGAAGCGCUUAAUGAUGAGGGCCAUCUCCUCAUUAUUUAGCCCGGCCGCCUCAACUUGCGCCACCUUGCUCGGUAGCGCCUCCUUGCUCCUCGUUGCCUUGAGAGCAAUGGGUUGAGGCUCAUGAAUAGGACCGUUCAACGCGUCGUCCACAUAUCUUGCCUCCUUGAUCAUCAUUCGCCCGCUUACGAACUUCCCCAGAACUUCUUCGGGCGACAUCUUGGUGUACCUAGGAUUUUCACGAAUAUUGUUCACCAAAUGAGGAUCAAGAACGGUAAAGGACCUUAGCAUUAGGCGGACGACGUCGUGAUCCGUCCAUCGCGUGCUUCCGUAGCUCCUUAUUUUGUUGAUAAGGGUCUUGAGCCGGUUGUAUGUUUGAGUUGGCUCCUCGCCCCUUAUCAUUGCGAACCGUCCAAGCUCGCCCUCCACCAACUCCAUCUUGGUGAGUAAGGUGACAUCGUUCCCCUCAUGAGAGAUCUUGAGGGUGUCCCAGAUCUGCUUGGCAUUGUCCAAGCCGCUCACCUUAUGGUACUCGUCCCUGCACAAAGAGGCUAGCAACACAGUAGUAGCUUGUGCAUUUUUAUGAAUCUGUUCAUUAAUAAACAUGGGACUAUCCGUACUAUCAAAGUGCAUUCCACUUUCUACAAUCUCCCAUAUGCUAGGAUGGAGAGAGAACAAGUGACUACGCAUUUUGUGACUCCAAAAUCCGUAGUCCUCUCCAUCAAAAUGAGGAGGUUUACUAAGUGGAAUAGAUAAUAACUGAGCAUUAGUACUUUGAGGAAUACGAGAGUAAUCAAAAGAAAAGUACGAAUUGACCGGUUUCUUUCUCUCGUAUUCGUUGUGGUCGUCGUCCUUUUGGGAGGAAGUAGACUCAUCGCUGUCGUAGUAGACGAUCUCCUUGAUGUGUCUUGUCUUCUUCUUCUUCCCAUCUUUGCGUCUGUGGCCCGAGCCCGAGUCGUUGGACUUGUCAUCCCUUGGCUCGUUGACGAAGGACUCCUUCUCCUUGUCGUUGAUCACGAUUCCCUUCCCUUUAGGAUCCAUCUCUUCGGGCGGUUAGUCCCUUUGUGAAGAGAACGGCUCUGAUACCAAUUGAGAGCACCUAGAGGGGGGGUGAAUAGGUGAUCCUGUGAAACUUGAAAACUUAAGCCACAAAACUUGGUUAAUCGUUAGCACAAUAAUUGCCAAGUGGCUAAAUAGGAAUCCUCAACAAAAUACAAUAACCAACAAAGAUCAAUCACAGAGAUGACACGGUGGUUAUCCCGUGGUUCGGCCAAGACCAACGCUUGCCUACUCCACGUUGUGGCGUCCCAACGGACGAGGGUUGCAAUCAACCCCUCUCAAGCGGUCCAAAGACCCACUUGAAUACCACGGUGUUUUGCUUUGCUUAUCUUUAUCCCACUUGCGAGGAAUCUCCACAAAUUGGAGUCUCUCGCCCUUACACUUAAAGUUCACAAAGAAGCACGGAGUAAGGGAGGGAAGCAACACACACAAAUCCACAGCAAAAUGCGCACACACACGGCCAAGAAUCGAGCUCAAAAGACUAUCUCAAAGUUCUCACUAGAACGGAGCUCGAAUCACUGAGAAUGACAAACGAAUGCGCAAAGACUGAGUGUGGAUGAUCAAGAAUGCUCUAAGGUUGCUUGGUUUUUCUCCUCCAUGCGCCUAGGGGUCCCUUUUAUAGCCCCAAGGCGGCUAGGAGCCGUUGAGAACAAAUCUGGAAGGCCAUCCUUGCCUUCUGUCGUCGGGCGCACCGGACAGUCCGGUGCACACCGGACACUGUCCGGUGCCCGAUUUCCUUCCUUAAAUGGCGAAGCCGACCGUUGCAGAUGUGGGAGCCGUUGGCGCACCGGACAUGUCCGGUGCACACCAGACAGUCCGGUGCCCCCUUCCGACCGUUGGCUCGGCCACGUGUCGCGCGCGGAUUCCGCGGCCGACCGUUGGCCCGGCCGACCGUUGGCUCACCGGACAGUCCGGUGCACACCGGACAGUCCGGUGAAUUUUAGGCGUACGUCGCCGGUGAAUUCCCGAGAGCGGCCAGUUCGCUCGAGCCAGCAUGGCGCACCGGACACUGUCCGAUGCACCACCGGACAGUCCGGUGCCCCAGACCGAAACAGCCUCUUGGCUGUACACAGCCAACUCUUCUCUUUCCUUCUUCUUUCUGUUUCUGAUACUUAGACAAGUAUAUUAGUACACAAAACCAAUGUACUAAGACUUAGAAACAUACCUUUGCUCUUGAUUUGCACUUUGUCCAUUCAUGGGCAUAGAUUUACAUUUAAGCACUUGUGUUGGCACUCAAUCACCAAAAUACUUAGAAAUGGCCCAAGGGCACAUUUCCCUUUCAUGGAUAAAUAAGUGGGGGUGAGCAAUAAAUUUCAUCCUAGAUUUAGAAGGAAUAAAUAUAUCACUAAAUACGUUUUUUUUUACAAUGGCAAGUUAAUCAGGUGGGAGCGAGAAACAAUUCUAGCGAGGCUAGGUUGUACUAGCCCAAAAUUACAUACAACAGAGGAAAAAUGAAGAAAAUGAUGGUCUACCAAAUAUGGCGCAUGAGCCUUAAGGUGCACCUAGAGGGAAGUAGAAGAAUAAAUAUAUAAUAGCAUAUGUUUUUCGCAAUGCAAGGUAAAGUGUAGAUGUGCUCUAACUGGGCUUAGAUUGCAGCGACACAUUAUGCAUCUACAAGGCUUGGUUGCACAUGGAAAAAGAUAGAGAGAGAAAUGUAGACGCAGGACCGGGAGAAAACAUUCAAUGAGACGUGAUUGCACGGACAUAGAACUAGAUAUAAGACAAGAGUUAAAGAAAAAAAGGAACUAAAUUUUCUUGUGCACACUAAGCAUGAAUGGAGUUGUAGUAUCUGAGAUCAAAAUUUAAUUUAUUCCAAGAUGCAGAACAAAAACGUGAUAUUCGUAAUGGUUACAUAGGAACAAAAGUAGAUAAGAAAAAUAGCAAAAAGAUAGUGGUCUACCAGAGAGGGCACAUGUGCCUCAAUUGGCCUAUAGCAUAGUGGCUCAUUAUCCUUCCACCGCUGGUGGCGGGCGGUACUCGCUGCUCUGUGAAGCCAGCCUCACGCAAUGUCCGCCACUUUAGGUGUUGGGAUGCAAAGGCUUUCGCCAAGGCAUCCGAAACCCACUACACAACUUGGAAUGGGUGGUCCACAAUUUGUAGCACUAGACCCAUACACAUGCACCACAAUUGAUAUCCACACUACCUUAUUGCCCCCGCUCGGGUUACAAGCAAUCGCUACUUGCUCAGCGAGUGAGGGGGUUCAGGACUACCUAUUUAAGGUGGUGUUGUACUCUAUGAGCCGGCGAUGUGGUAUUUACCAACUACAAAUAGUGUCAUGCAUGUGACUUGCUAGUUGACAAAGUCUGUUGUCGAGCUAGAUGUAGGCUAUGGAUGAAGCACAUUACGAUAUAGUAGGCCUAUUUUGUUUUUUGUUGUUUUUGGGCCACUAUGGACUUUAUGUUGAUGUUGUGAAAUUUUUUCUUGUGUUUCCUCUUCCUACGAUGUCGAAAGUGGGUGCGUCAGAGAAGAAAGAAAGUGUGGGUUGCAUUGAUUUUACGUCAUACCAUUGAGAACACUAAUCAGAACCAGAAGCAACAAUAUUUCAUACAUAUACAACACUUGUAAUCCAUAUAAACAACUUUCCUUUAAAAUAUCAUAUAAACCACAUGAUUUAUAUCCUGGGUCGGUUAUCUCCACAAAGGGCAAGAAAACGCUCCAAGUUUGUAGUAUAGAACUAAAAGUGUCGACUCUCACGAUUUCUUCCCGACAUAUGCAAACUAGACAAUAAUCACAUAAAAUAAAGAAAUAUGUGUUAACACAAACUUAUAGCAUGUAUUUCAACAUAUAGAUUUUUUAUUAUUAUGGUAGAUUAUAUAAUAUAGGGGUUCCCGAAGAAAUACAUAAAAAACAAGAGCAUUAAAAUUUCCUUUUCAGAUCUGGCUAACUGGUAAAGGGAGUUGGAGUAUCUGAGUUUCCAAAUUUGGGACGUCGCUCUAUAGAAGGAAUAUAAAUACAUUGGAAAAAAAUUCUACAAGGAAAGGUUUAAUACAAGUAGGGCUAAGAAAAACUCAAUGAGGCUUUGGUCGCAUGGUCACAAGACUUGAGACAAGAAACACGAAGACACCAAGGUAAUUAGUAUGAGAGUUUUCCAAAUUUGGUGUCUUGAUGUAGAAAAAAUAAAUAUAUGACAAACAUGUAUUUUCGCAAGGCAUGGUAAAAUAAGUGGGAGUGAGCAAUAAAUUUCAUCCUAGAUUUAGAAGGAACAAAUAUAUCACUAAAUACAUUUUUUCACAAUGCCAAGUUAACCAGGCGGGACCGAGAAACAAUUCUAGCAAGGCUAGGUUGUACUAGUCCGAAACUACGUACAACAAAGGAAAAAUGAAGAAAAUGAUGGUCUACCAAAUAUGGCGCAUGAGCCUUAAGGUGCACCUAGAGGGAAGUAGAAGAAAUAAAUAUAUAAUAGGAUAUGUUUUUCGCAAUGCAAGGUAAAAUGUAGAUGUGCUCUAACUGGGCUUAGAUUGCAGCGAUACAUUAUGCAUCCACAAGGCUUGGUUGCACAUGGAAAAAGAUAGAGAGAGAAAUGUAGACGUAGGACCAGGAGAAAAACAUUCAAUGAUACAUUAUUGCACGGACAUAGAACUAGAUAUAAGACAAGAGUUAAAGAAACAUAAAGGAACUAAAUUUUCUUUUGCAUACUAAGCAUGAAUGGAGUUGUAGUAUCUGAUAUAAAAAAUUAAUUUAUUCCAAGAUGCAGAACAAAAUUGUGAUACUCGUAAUGGUUACAUAGGAACAAAAGUAGAUAAGAAAAAUAGCAAAACGAUAGUAGUCUACCAGAGAGGGCACAUGUGCCUCAAUUGGCCUAUAGCAUAGCGGCUCAUUAUCCUUCCACCGCUGGUGGCGUGCGGUACUCGCUGCUCUGUGAAGCCAGCCUCACGCAAUGUCUGCCACUUUAGGUGUUGGGAUGCAAAGGCUUUCGCCAAGGCACCCGAAACCCACUACACAACUUGGAAUGGGUGGUCCACAGUUUGUAGCACUAGACCUAGGCACAUGCACCACAAUUGACAUCCACACUACCUUAUUGCCCCCGCUCGGGUUACAAGCAAUCGCUACAUGCUCAGCGAGUGAGGGGGUUCAGGACUACCUAUUUAAGAUGGUGUUGUACUCUAUGAGCCGGCGGUGUGGUAUUUACCAACUACAAAUAGUGUCAUGCAUGUGACUUGCUAGUUGACAAAGUCUGUUGUCGAGCUAGAUAUGGGCUAUGGCUGAAGCACAUUAGGAUAUAGUAGGCCUAUUUUUGUUUUUGUUGUUUUUGGGCCACUAUGGACUUUAUGUUGGUGUUGUAAAAUUUUUUCUUGUGUUUCCUCUUCCUAUGAAGUGGAAAGUGGCUGCGUCAUAGAAGAAAGAAAGAGUGGCAAGCAUUGAUUUUACGUCAUCCCAUUGAGACCAGUAACCAAAAGCAGAAGCAACAAUAUUUCAUACAUAUACAACAAUUGUAAUCCAUAUAAACAACUUUCCUUUAAAAUAUAAUAUAAACCACAUGCUUUAUAUCCUGGGUCGGAUAUCCCCAUAAUAGGAUAUGUUUUUUGCAAUGCAAGGUAAAGUGUAGAUGUGCUCUAACUGGGCUUAGAUUGCAGCGACACGUUAUGCAUCCACAAGGCUUGGUUGCACAUGGAAAAAGAUAGAGAGAGAAAUGUAGACACAGGACGAGGAGAAAAACAUUCAACGAGACGUGAUUGCACGGAUAUAGAACUAGAUAUAAGACAAGAGUUAAAUACAAAUAAAUGAACUAAAUUUUCUUUUGCACACUAAGCUUGAAUGGAGUUGUAGUAUCUCAUAUCAAAAUUUAAUUUAUUCCAAGAUACAGAACAAAAAUGUGAUACUCCUAAUGGUUACAUAGGAACAAAAGUAGAUAAGAAAAUUAGCAAAAAGAUAGUGGUCUACCAGAGAGGGCACAUGUGCCUCAAUUGGCCUAUAGCAUAGCGGCUCAUUAUCCUUCCACCGCUGGUGGCGGGCGGUACUCGCUGCUCUGUGAAGCCAGCCUCACGCAGUGUCCGCCACUUUAGGUGUUGGGAUGCAAAGGCUUUCGCCAACGCACCCGAAACCCACUACACAAGUUGGAAUGGGUGGUCCACAGUUUGUAGCACUAGACCCAGGCACAUGCACCACAAUUGACAUCCACACUACCUUAUUGCCCCCGCUCGGGUUACAAGCAAUCGCUACUUGCUCAGCGAGUGAGGGGGUUCAGGACUACCUAUUUAUGGUGGUGUUGUACUCUAUGAGCCGGCGGUGUGGUAUUUACCAACUACAAAUAGUGUCAUGCAUGUGACUUGCUAGUUGACAAAGUCUGUUGUCGAGCUAGAUGUGGGCUAUGGAUGAAGCACAUUACGAUAUAGUAGGCCUAUUUUGUUUUUUGUUGUUUUUGGGCCAAUAUGGACUUUAUGUUGAUGUUGUGAAAUUUUUUCUUGUGUUUUCUCUUCCUACGAUGUGGAAAGUGGGUGCGUCAGAGAAGAAAGAAAGAGUGGCUAGAAUUGAUUUUACGUCAUACCAUUGAGAACACUACUCAGAAGCAGAAGCAACAAUAUUUCAUACAUAUACAACACUUGUAAUCCAUAUAAACAACUUUCCUUUAAAAUAUAAUAUAAACCACAUGAUUUAUAUCCUGGGUCGGCUAUCUCCACAAAGGGCAAGAAAACGCUCCUAAGUUUGUAGUAUAGAACUAAGAGUAUCGACUCUCACGAUUUCUUCCCGACAUAUGCAAACUAGACAGUAAUAACAUAAAAUAAAGAAAUAUGUGUUAACAUGAACUUAUCACAUGUAUUUCAACAUAUAGAUUGUUGAUUAUUAUGGUAGAUUAUAUAAUAUAGGGGUUCCCGAAGAAAUACAUAAAAAACAAGAGCAUUAAAAUUUCCUUUUCAGAUUUGGCUAACUGGUAAAGGGAGUUGGAGUAUCUGAGUUUCCAAAUUUGGGACGUCGCUCUAUAGAAGGAAUAUAAAUACGUUGGAAAAAUUCUACAAGGAAAGGUUUAAUACAAGUAGGGCUAAGAAAAACUCAAUGAGGCUUUGGUCGCAUGGUCACAAGACUUGAGACAAGAAACACAAAGACACCAAAGUAAUUAGUAUGAGAGUUUUCCAAGUUUGGUGUCUUGAUGUAGAAAAAAUAAAUAUAUGACAAACAUGUUUUUUCGCAAGGCAUGGUAAAGUAAGUGGGAGUGAGCAAUAAAUUUCAUCCUAGAUUUAGAAGGAACAAAUAUAUCACUAAAUACGUUUUUUCACAAUGCCAAGUUAACCAGGCGGGACCGAUAAACAAUUCUAGCAAGACUAGGUUGUACUAGCCAGAAACUACAUACAACAAAGGAAAAAUGAAGAAAAUGAUGGUCUACCAGAUAUGGCGCAUGAGCCUUAAGGUGCACCUAGAGGGAAGUAGAAGAAAUAAAUAUAUAAUAGGAUAUGUUUUUCGCAAUGCAAGGUAAAGUGUAGAUGUGCUCUAACUGGGCUAAGAUUGCAGCGAUACAUUAUGCAUCCACAAGGUUGGCACAUGGAAAAAGAUAGAGAGAGAAAUGUAGACGUAGGACCAGGAGAAGAACAUUCAAUGAGACAUGAUUGCACGGACAUAGAACUAGAUAUAAGACAAGAGUUAAAGAAAAAUAAAGGAACUAAAUUUUCUUUUGCACACUAAGUAUGAAUGGAGUUGUAGUAUCUGAUAUCAAAAAUUAAUUUAUUUCAAGAUGCAGAACAAAAUUGUGAUACUCGUAAUGGUUACAUAGGAACAAAAGUAGAUAAGAAAAAUAGCAAAAAGAUAGUGGUCUACCAGAGAGGGCACAUGUGCCUCAAUUGGCCUAUAGCAUAGCGGCUCAUUAUCCUUCCACCGCUGGUGGCGGGCGAUACACGCUGCUCUAUGAAGCCAGCCUCACGAAAUGUCCGCCACUUUAGGUCUUGGGAUGCAAAGGCUUUCGCCAAGGCACCCGAAACCCACUACACAACUUGGAAUGGGUGGUCCACAGUUUGUAGCACUAGACCCAGGCACAUGCACCACAAUUGACAUCCACACUACCUUAUUGCCCCCGCUCGGGUUACAAGCAAUCGCUACU
rnacentral:lncRNA from 1 species